rnacentral:rRNA from 1 species
GGGCAAGUGGCGGCAGGCUACACAUGCAGUCGAGCGGAUGAGAGGAGCUUGCUCCUCGAUUCAGCGGCGGACGGGUGAGUAAUGCCUAGGAAUCUGCCUGGUAGUGGGGGACAACGUUUCGAAAGGAACGCUAAUACCGCAUACGUCCUACGGGAGAAAGCAGGGGACCUUCGGGCCUUGCGCUAUCAGAUGAGCCUAGGUCGGAUUAGCUAGUUGGUGAGGUAAUGGCUCACCAAGGCGACGAUCCGUAACUGGUCUGAGAGGAUGAUCAGUCACACUGGAACUGAGACACGGUCCAGACUCCUACGGGAGGCAGCAGUGGGGAAUAUUGGACAAUGGGCGAAAGCCUGAUCCAGCCAUGCCGCGUGUGUGAAGAAGGUCUUCGGAUUGUAAAGCACUUUAAGUUGGGAGGAAGGGUUGUUUCCUAAUACGAAGCAAUUUUGACGUUACCGACAGAAUAAGCACCGGCUAACUCUGUGCCAGCAGCCGCGGUAAUACAGAGGGUGCAAGCGUUAAUCGGAAUUACUGGGCGUAAAGCGCGCGUAGGUGGUUUGUUAAGUUGAAUGUGAAAUCCCCGGGCUCAACCUGGGAACUGCAUCCAAAACUGGCAAGCUAGAGUAGGGUAGAGGGUGGUGGAAUUUCCUGUGUAGCGGUGAAAUGCGUAGAUAUAGGAAGGAACACCAGUGGCGAAGGCGACCACCUGGACUCAUACUGACACUGAGGUGCGAAAGCGUGGGGAGCAAACAGGAU